CAGUAGCCACGGGAAUACGUAGGGUGCAAGCGUUAAUCGGAAUUACUGGGCGUAAAGCGUGCGCAGGCGGUUUGUUAAGACAGAUGUGAAAUCCCCGGGCUCAACCUGGGAACUGCAUUUGUGACUGGCGAGCUAGAGUAUGGCAGAGGGGGGUAGAAUCCCACGUGUAGCAGUGAAAUGCGUAGAGAUGUGGAGGAAUACCGAUGGCGAAGGCAGCCCCCUGGGCCAAUACUGACGCUCAUGCACGAAAGCGUGGGGAGCAAACAGGAUUAGAUACCCGAGUAGUCCCUGUCUCUUAUAC
rnacentral:rRNA from 1 species